AGGGAUUGCCCUAGUAACGGCGAGUGAAGCGGCAACAGCUCAAAUUUGAAAUCUGGCUCCUUUGGGGUCCGAGUUGUAAUUUGCAGAGGGAGCUUUUGGCGUCGGUCGUGGUCUAAGUUCCUUGGAACAGGACGUCACAGAGGGUGAGAAUCCCGUACGUGGCCGCCGGCCUUCGCCUUGUAAAGCCCCUUCGACGAGUCGAGUUGUUUGGGAAUGCAGCUCUAAAUGGGAGGUAAAUUUCUUCUAAAGCUAAAUACCCGCCAGAGACCGAUAGCGCACAAGUAGAGUGAUCGAAAGAUGAAAAGCACUUUGGAAAGAGAGUGAAAAAGCACGUGAAAUUGUUGAAAGGGAAGCGCUUGCGGCCAGACGUGCCCGCGGUUGAUCAUCCAGGCUCCAGCCUGGUGCACUCCUCCGCGGGCAGGCCAGCAUCAGUUCGGGCGGUCGGAUAAAGGCCUCUAUCACGUACCACCCCUCGGGGUGGCCUUAUAGGGGAGGCGCAACACGGCCAGCCCGGACUGAGGUUCCGCGCAUCUGCUAGGAUGCUGGCGUAAUGGCAGCAAGCGGCCCGUCUUGAAACACGGACCAAGGAGUCUAACAUCUAUGCGAGUGUUUGGGUGUCAAGCCCGAGCGCGCAAUGAAAGUGAACGGAGGUGGGAACCCUUACCGGUGCACCAUCGACCGAUCCUGAUGUCUUCGGAUGGAUUUGAGUAAGAGCAUAGCUGUUGGGACCCGAAAGAUGGUGAACUAUGCCUGAAUAGGGUGAAGCCAGAGGAAACUCUGGUGGAGGCUCGCAGCGGUUCUGACGUGCAAAUCGAUCGUCAAAUUUGGGCAUAGGGGCGAAAGACUAAUCG
rnacentral:rRNA from 2 species